UACUCUGUAAAUCACUUGCAAUUUCUUUCUCUCACUGAUCAAUGUCUCACCUACCACAUUCCACAUCCAGACAGAGCUUUUACAGCUUUAGCAGCUCACCUCUUCUUCUCUGCUGCUUGUCUUAUGCUGAUGUUCUUCCCCAACGUCCGUCUACAACCCCAUCGCUUCCAAUCAGCUCCCUCUAGCUGUAAUCAGCGAUAUUUACCUUCUAGACUUCGUGGAUCCGUCUGGGUUUGUUCAGGAAAUCUCUUCCAAGGUCAGCAGAGUGGUGGUUUCGGAUCACUACAAGACCGCAGUAGAUUGCAGUGAGAGUUCUUGUUCAGUUGGUGAGAAUGUGGAGAGGGUUAUUGACAUCCGGAGGAGUGGAGCUACUGUUUUUUAUUAUUAUUUCAAGGAAAGAGCUGGUAGUGGUCUAAAAGAUUUGAAUUUUGUUUCGAUGAGGGUUUGAUCUUUGAAUCCAUCUUCGUUCAAGCGGGUAAUUUGUUUUUAUCGGUUUAUUGAAUUUUUAUUUUAUUUUAUUUUAUUUUUUAAAGCUGUAAAGCUAUAAAAUUCUCUCUUUAUUUGGGUGUACAAGGCUUUUGCAUUUGCUUUUUUUGAAUUUGGAGGAUGUAAUUAGUCAGGGAUUAACCGGCUUAUCCUAGAAGCAGGAAUGAUUCUCUCAGCCAAUAAUAUGAGAUUGCUCUUGUGGCUGGAGCAUUUGGAGAUUGCCUGGCUAUGAAAGAUGAUUCUGUAUUGGAGUUGAGGAGUGAACUUGGACAUAAAUUAGCCAACAAAAGCUGUAAUCUAAAGUUGAGGUGUUGAGAAAUCUUUUUCUAGGCUCAGCAGACAGAACUGUGAAAUUCUGGGAUUUGGAAACCUUCGAACUAAUUGGAUAUACAAGCCUCAGAGUCACCGCAUUCGACGUCUACUUGGUGAGUGAGCAGGUCUGCAGCCGAAGAGAGCUUGGGAGAGAGAAGAGAAAGAGAGAGAGAGCAGGUCUGCAGUUGGUGUUCUUUCUUAUAUUUUUUAACAUUAAAGAAUGUUGCACUCAACAUGUUCUAUAGUGCAAUACAUUGUUAAAAAAUAAUUGUAAAUUUGGAUGAUUUGUGAAAGAAAAAUUUAAACGCAAUUUUGAUGAUAAUUAAAAAUAUCCUCACCUUAAAAGCA